GGCCAGACUCCUACGGGAGGCAGCAGUGGGGAAUAUUGCACAAUGGGGGGAACCCUGAUGCAGCGACGCCGCGUGAGUGAAGAAGUAUUUCGGUAUGUAAAGCUCUAUCAGCAGGGAAGAAAAUGACGGUACCUGAAGAAGAAGCCCCGGCUAACUACGUGCCAGCAGCCGCGGUAAUACGUAGGGGGCAAGCGUUAUCCGGAUUUACUGGGUGUAAAGGGGGCGCAGACGGCGAUGCAAGCCAGGAGUGAAAGCCCGGGGCCCAACCCCGGGACUGCUCUUGGAACUGCGUGGCUGGAGUGCAGGAGGGGCAGGCGGAAUUCCUGGUGUAGCGGUGAAAUGCGUAGAUAUCAGGAGGAACACCGGUGGCGAAGGCGGCCUGCUGGACUGCAACUGACGUUGAGGCCCGAAAGCGUGGGGAGCAAACAGGAUUAGAUACCCCCGUA
rnacentral:rRNA from 1 species